rnacentral:rRNA from 1 species
ACGGGUGAGUAACACGUAGGUAACCUGCCUUUAAGACUGGGAUAACUAUCGGAAACGAUAGCUAAGACCGGAUAACUGGUUUUCUCGCAUGAGAGAAUCAUAAAACACGGAGCAAUCUGUGGCUUGAAGAUGGGCCUGCGGCGCAUUAGCUAGUUGGUGAGGUAACGGCUCACCAAGGCGACGAUGCGUAGCCGACCUGAGAGGGUGAACGGCCACACUGGGACUGAGACACGGCCCAGACUCCUACGGGAGGCAGCAGUAGGGAAUCUUCCGCAAUGGACGCAAGUCCGACGGAGCAACGCCGCGUGAGUGAUGAAGGUUUUCGGAUCGUAAAGCUCUGUUGCCCUAGACGAACAGCAAGGAGAGUAACUGCUCUUUGUGUGACGGUAUAGGAGAAGAAAGCCCCGGCUAACUACGUGCCAGCAGCCGCGGUAAUACGUAGGGGGCAAGCGUUGUCCGGAAUUAUUGGGCGUAAAGCGCGCGCAGGCGGUCAUUUAAGUCUGGUGUUUAAUCCUGGGGCUCAACCCCAGUUCGCAUCGGAAACUGGAUGACUUGAGUGUAGGAGAGGAAAGUGGAAUUCCACGUGUA